rnacentral:rRNA from 1 species
CUACGGGGUGCUGCAGUGGGGAAUAUUGGACAAUGGGGGCAACCCUGAUCCAGCAAUACCGCGUGUAGGAAGAAGGUUCUUGGAUUGUAAACUACUGUCAUAGGGGAAGAAGUUACGAAUCAAAAUAUGGUUCAUGAUUGACGGUACCCUAAGAGGAAGCACCGGCUAACUCCGUGCCAGCAGCCGCGGUAAUACGGAGGGUGCAAUCGUUGUUCGGAUUUACUGGGCGUAAAGCGUGUCUAGGUGGGAAUAUAUGUCAGGUGUGAAAGACCUGGGCUCAACCCAGGAACUGCGCCUGAAACUGUAUUUCUUGAGUUAUGGAGAGGUGAGCAGAAUACCUAGUGUAGCAGUGAAAUGCGUAGAUAUUAGGUAGAACACCGGAGGCGAAGGCGGCUCACUGGCCAUACACUGACGCUGAAGCACGAAAGCGUGGGGAGCAAACAGGAUUAGAUACCCGCGUAGUC